rnacentral:rRNA from 1 species
GAUGAACGCUAGCUACAGGCUUAACACAUGCAAGUCGCGGGGCAGCAUGGGGGUUGCUUGCAAUCCCCGAUGGCGACCGGCGCACGGGUGAGUAACGCGUAUCCAACCUGCCCUUCACCACGGGAUAACCCGGCGAAAGUCGGACUAAUACCGUCUGUUGUCCAUUGAAGGCAUCCGAUUUGGACGAAAGGUUGGUCGGUGAAGGAUGGGGAUGCGUCCGAUUAUCUGGAGGGCGGGGUGACGGCCGACCGUGGCGACGAUCUGUAGGGUUUCUGUGAGGGAGGUCCGCCACACUUGAACUGAGACACGGACCACAAUCCUACGGGAGGCAGCGGUGCGGAAUAGUGGUCAAUGAGCGUAAGCCUGAACCAGCCAAGUAGCGUGCAGGAUGACGGCCCUAUGGGUUGUAAACUGCUUUUAUGCGGGGAUAAAGUGGCCCACGUGUGGGUUUUUGCAGGUACCGCAUGAAUAAGGACCGGCUAAUUCCGUG